rnacentral:tRNA from 1 species
GACCGCGUAGCUCAGUUGGCAGAGCAUUGGGCUAGUAUUCCAUAGGUCGUAGGUUCGAUUCCCACCGUGGCCG